GGGAGGAAAAGAAACUAACAAGGGAUUCCCCUAGUAACUGCGAGUGAAGCGGGAAGAGCUCAAAUUUAAAAUCUGGCGGCUUUUUGGUCGUCCGAGUUGUAACCUGGAGAGGCAUUUUCCGCGUUGGACCGUGUACAAGUCUCCUGGAAUGGAGCGUCAUAGAGGGUGAGAAUCCCGUCCAUGACACGGACCGCCAAUGCUUUGUGAUAUGCCUUCGAAGAGUCGCGUUGUUUGGGAAUGCAGCGCAAAAUGGGUGGUAAAUUCCAUCUAAAGCUAAAUAUUGGCGAGAGACCGAUAGCGAACAAGUACCGUGAGGGAAAGAUGAAAAGCACUUUGGAAAGAGAGUUAAACAGUACGUGAAAUUGUUGAAAGGGAAACGCUUGAAGUCAGUCGCGUUCCGUGGAACUCAGCCUUACUUCGGUUUGGUGUACUUUCCAUGUGAACGGGUCAACGUCAAUUUUGGCCGGUGGAUAAAGGCAAAGGGAAUGUAGCGUUGCUUCGGUGACGUGUUAUAGCCCCUUGUUGUAUACACCGGCUGGGAUUGAGGACCGCAGCACGCCCUUGUGGCCGGGGGUUCGCCCCACGUACCGUGCUUAGGAUGUUGGCAUAAUGGCUUUAAGCGACCCGUCUUGAAACACGGACCAAGGAGUCUAACAUGCUUGCGAGUGUUCGGGUGGAAAACCCUUGCGCGUAAUGAAAGUGAAAGUUAGGAACCUUCUCGCAAGAGGGGGUGCACUGACGCCCGGCCCUGACGUUCUCUGACGGUGCUGCGGUAGAGCAAGUAUGUUGGGACCCGAAAGAUGGUGAACUAUGCCUGAAUAGGGCGAAGCCAGAGGAAACUCUGGUGGAGGCUCGUAGCGAUUCUGACGUGCAAAUCGAUCGUCAAAUUUGGGUAUAGGGCGAA
rnacentral:rRNA from 1 species